UACGUAGGGGGCAAGCGUUGUUCGGAAUUACUGGGCGUAAAGGGCGCGUAGGCGGCAUGGCAAGUCAGGAGUGAAAGCCCGGGGCUCAACCCCGGAACGGCUUUUGAAACUGCCGAGCUCGAGUGCGGAAGAGGCAACUGGAAUUCCCAGUGUAGCGGUGAAAUGCGUAGAUAUUGGGAAGAACACCGGAGGCGAAGGCGGGUUGCUGGGCCGACACUGACGCUGAGGCGCGAAAGCCAGGGGAGCAAAC
rnacentral:rRNA from 1 species